rnacentral:rRNA from 2 species
AGUUAAGUUAGAAAGGGCGCACGGUGGAUGCCUUGGCACUAGGAGCCGAUGAAGGACGGGAUUAACACCGAUAUGCUUUGGGGAGCUGUAAGUAAGCUUUGAUCCAGAGAUUUCCGAAUGGGGAAACCCUCUAUCCGUAAUGGGAUAGAAUCUUUACCUGAAUACAUAGGGUACUGAAGGCAGACCCGGGGAACUGAAACAUCUAAGUACCCGGAGGAAGAGAAAGCAAACGCGAUUUCCUGAGUAGCGGCGAGCGAAACGGGAUUAGCCCAAACCAAGAGGCUUGCCUCUUGGGGUUGUAGGACACUCUAUAUGGAGUUACAAAGGAACGGGGUAGACGAAUCGAUCUGGAAAGGUCAGUCGUAGAAGGUAAAAACCCUGUAGUCGAAACUUCGUUCCCUCUUGAGUGUAUCCUGAGUACGGCGGGACACGAGAAAUCCCGUCGGAAGCAGGGAGGACCAUCUCCCAAGGCUAAAUACUCCCUAGUGACCGAUAGUGAACCAGUACCGUGAGGGAAAGGUGAAAAGCACCCCGGAAGGGGAGUGAAAUAGAUCCUGAAACCGUGUGCCUACAAGUAGUUAGAGCCCAUUUAUGGGUGAUAGCGUGCCUUUUGUAGAAUGAACCGGCGAGUUACGAUUACAUGCGAGGUUAAGUUGAAGAGACGGAGCCGCAGCGAAAGCGAGUCUGAAUAGGGCGAAAUAGUAUGUGGUUGUAGACCCGAAACCAGGUGAUCUACCCAUGUCCAGGGUGAAGUCCAGGUAACACUGGAUGGAGGCCCGAACCCACGCACGUUGAAAAGUGCGGGGAUGAGGUGUGGGUAGCGGAGAAAUUCCAAUCGAACUUGGAGAUAGCUGGUUCUCUCCGAAAUAGCUUUAGGGCUAGCCUCAAGAUUUAGAGUAUUGGAGGUAGAGCACUGUUUGGACUAGGGGCCCCCAUCGGGUUACCGAAUUCAGACAAACUCCGAAUGCCAAAUACUUAUUCUUGGGAGUCAGACUACGAGUGAUAAGAUCCGUGGUCAAGAGGGAAACAGCCCAGACCACCAGCUAAGGUCCCAAAGUAUACGUUAAGUGGAAAAGGAUGUGGAGUUGCUUAGACAACCAGGAUGUUGGCUUAGAAGCAGCCACCAUUUAAAGAGUGCGUAAUAGCUCACUGGUCGAGUGACUCUGCGCCGAAAAUGUACCGGGGCUAAACGUAUCACCGAAGCUGUGGAUUGACAUCUAUGAUGUCAGUGGUAGGAGAGCGUUCUAAGGGCGUUGAAGCUAGACCGUAAGGACUGGUGGAGCGCUUAGAAGUGAGAAUGCCGGUAUGAGUAGCGAAAGAUGAGUGAGAAUCUCAUCCACCGAAUGCCUAAGGUUUCCUGAGGAAGGCUCGUCCGCUCAGGGUUAGUCGGGACCUAAGCCGAGGCUGAAAAGCGUAGGCGAUGGACAACAGGUUGAUAUUCCUGUACCACCUUUAAAUCGUUUGAGCAAUGGGGGGACGCAGGAGGAUAGGGUAAGCGUGCUGUUGGAUUAGCACGUCCAAGCAGUUAGGCUGGUAAUGAGGCAAAUCCCAUUACCACAUAAGCGGAGCUGUGACGGCGAGGGAAAUAUAGUACC